UACGAAGGGGGCUAGCGUUACUCGGAUUGACUGGGCGUAAAGGGCACGUAGGCGGUUUGUACAGUCAGACGUGAAAUUCCUGGGCUCAACCUGGGGGCUGCGUUUGAUACGUGCAGACUUGAGUUCGGAAGAGGGUCGUGGAAUUCCCAGUGUAGAGGUGAAAUUCGUAGAUAUUGGGAAGAACACCAGUGGCGAAGGCGACUAUCUGGCUGACAACUGACGCUGAGACUCGAAAGCAUGGGGAGCAAACAGG
rnacentral:rRNA from 1 species